ACGCGAAAUUGAUCGUGGAGUCGGGGCAUACAGCACUCGACGGCUGUCCUGUCCUUCUCAAAUACAGGUGAGUGCUAGUUAUGAUCUAGUAGCUGGGUCUUGACCAUCGACGCGACGCUAGGCGUCUUCUAGACGUCUUUUUUAGACGCGCGCGUUUUUUCGACGACGCCCGACAGCCAAGGCGUGAAUCAGGUUUUGGCGACAUCAAAUGGAACUUUAGGACCAAGUUUCGGAUGUAAUCAAAAUUGCAACAUGAGACAUCGGCAGAGACGCUUCGAUUUCGGAAAACUUUCAACCUUCCAGGCAAAAACACAUCAGUCAACACGUAGCACAAAAACAUGUUUCUUUGGCAAAGCCGUCAUAGGAAGAAGAUGAAACUUCAUCGUCUUUGAAACUACUUUCAUCGGACUGCUCAGAGAUUGGAAGAUGUCAAAAGUUCAUCAAUGCUGCAUCUAAUCUGGAUAUCUCUAUUCUGUUUUGGAACUUCAACCUUUCAUGGAACCAUAGUUUUCUAAUCAUCUAUAAUAUUCUAUUUGGAUGAGACGCCCCGCGAAGGAAAUAAAAAGGAUACGAAAUCUACUCCACAACUACUACUGGUACCUCUAUAUGGGUCUUCAAGGUACUAAAGGAUCUUUUCUUAGAUAAAGGCAAACAGGUUUAUUCUAUAGUAAAUAUGAGUAUUAUGUUAGAUUGGUAUGUCUCCAUGAAAUAGGCACGAUGAAUAACAGAGUUCUACAUAUUUCAGAUAAUAAAACAAUAAUCACUAAAUUCAAAUCAAUUUGGAACAUUCAAUAGAUUCUAUCUUCUAUUUGGGUAAAUUCAAUGGGAAUUGCGGUCAAUAGUAGCCUACACACUUGCUAUUCUGGAACAUUGGCACACGAAAUUGUAUUACUAAUGACUAGAAGUCUAGUAGUUUUGAAGAAUGUAAUUUUGACUUCAAAAAACAAUAAGCUUCAGGAAUCUGUAAGCUAAGAUUCGCGAGUUCUUCCAAAUUUAUUAUGAAGAUAAAAUAUAUUUACGAUCUACAACUGUUAAAUUCAUUUGAAUUCAAUGUGAUAUAAUUGCAACUACAACAAACUAAAUCUUGAAUUAUUAACAUGAUUUACCUGAUUCUGAUAGAAGCAAAUUUCAAACCAAUUCAACAAGAAAAUUAUUUUAUCUGAUAGACCAAUACUAUAUUUAGUCAAUGAUCAAUCCAAAAUGUUAUUUGCUUCCCAUGUCCCCUCGUAUCAUGAAAAACAGUAUGGAAAUUCAAACCAGGGCUAGAUGUACAACUAUCAAAAACACAAGCAUACUUUGUAAUAGUCAAUAUGACAAGAUUCUGUGUACGUACAGUAGAGAAUUUGAAAGAAUAGCCCCGAUUCAAUCAAUCAAUUCAAAUUUUAUUUGGUUUUGUGAAUGCUCUCUGAAUGGAGAAUUUCCCCUUCGUUGAUAUAUGAAAAAAAUACAAUAUACAGAAAUGUUUUUUGUCAUUUGGCUUCCAAAUUUCAUACUACGCGUAGUUGAUAAGUUUAAGCAGAUAAGAUUUCAGCUACUCAAUUACCCAAUCUCAUUUUUGAUUACAAUUAUAAUAUCAUCAUCAAAUUUCCAAGGAAUACUUCUAUCAUCUGUAACUGUCAAAUAUUUUUAUUAUAUGCUUUUUUAUUUAGAGUUUAAUACGGAAUGGUCAAUCAGAGAGAGAUGUUCAGUGUAUAAAGUAUAAAUCAAAGGAGAGCUCAUCAUAGGUAUUCGGUGUAUUUUACGGGUAUUAUUUUCCCAAAUUAUCACAAUUGGAAUCUCCUGUAUUUCUUAAUCCAUAGAAAAUAUUGAUAACCAGAUUUUAGUGCAAGUUGAAGAAGAAUGAGUAAUAAUAAUCGGUCAUAAGUGAUGAAUGUUUUACUUAAGUAAUGUAAUGGGAAAUUGAUUAUUCAUCAAGCAAGUCCUAUCCACUGACAAAUUUCGAACCUCUUGAUCGUUAAUACCAUUUGGAAAAUAUCACGGGAAAUAUCGUAGAAUUGGUCAUUGAAUCGAAAGGAAGAAUAGCGGAACAAAUCAAUAUAUAGAACAAUAUAUCAAUAAUGAGUCUUCACGAUGUAUACAUAUUCUCGAAUAAGCAGUGUCAAUUGGGUAGACUCACUCACAAAAUUAACCACUAAAUCAAUGAUAAACGGAAAAUUGGCAAACAAGAAAAUUCCAAAUUCAUACAAUAAUGAGAAAUCAGAAGAAAGUUAUUUUUUAGGCUCGAAUUGCAAUGAUCCAGGUUAAUUUCAGGCCAACUAUCAAUGGGAAUAUUCAACACAAAUAAUUUUGAAAAUCUACACCAAAAUCAAAAAAGAAUCAAUAUUGCUCCAAACAUGCUACACAUUCAGUUCGAAGAAAAUAUCAAUAGGCAGAAUUUCAUGAUCCCGGACAAAAUAAUUUUUCCAUAAAGACCUGUCAAAAAAUAAGUUUCGAUUCCAAAUCCAAAUGCAAAUUUAUGAGAAAUACUGAGAGAAUUCUAGACACCAUUCAGCACAAUAUAUUUGAUCCACUGCAAAAACUGUUAUUGAUAAUUACACAAUAAGACUUUUCAGCAUUCCAGAGUUUUCAAGGAAUCAGUAAUACAAAAUCUCGGAAAUCGGUCCAAGCUUUUAGAAAAUCAAUCAAAAAUUGACACUUAGAAACAUCCCCAAUUUCGAAGAAUUUUGAAUUUAGAAAGAAAGUACGUUAUAUUUCAUUUGUAUCCAUUAUUCUCUGAGUAAAUUUUAGCAAUUGAGAUUAAUUAAUAUUUUCUGGCAAUACAAACAACCAUACCGUGCUGUCAAUUAUUCUAAUAUGUAUUAUCUCACUCCACUAUUCAGAAAUAUAGACUAUAUAGCUUGACAAACUGAAACUGAAAAAAUCAUUAACAUUUCGAAAGCAUACGUAUUCAAAAGCAGUAUUUUAUACAUAAUCGUUUCAUUCAGGUUACUUUUGUUCUUUAAUAAUUCCCAGACAUUUCUAAUUAAGAAUCUAAAACACUGUAAUUUACUGUAUGCUUAUCGAAAUAACUGGAAACUCAAUAUUGGAAAUGACGCUAAAAUAUCAAAAUAGGAAUGAGAAUCGCUUGGAAAAGCUUUUUAAAACAAAUUCGAUCGUUAAUUCGUUGAGAAAAGCCAUCUUUUGAACAUCUUCAGGUACACAGCUGACACAAACAAUUCAAAUUAGUGAAAUACUACACUCCAAUUCCUAAAACACGAAUAAAAUUGCUAAAGAAUAUCAAUAUCUAUUUUUAAACUUUCGAGCUAUCAACUGAAUAAAUAAAAUACAAUUUUGGCAAAAAACAAUUUAGUCAUUUACCAAAUUCAGCGGUAUUCAGCAGUAGAAAAUUAUUUUUGUAUUUGUGCUAGCCAAAACAAUAAUGCGAAAAGAAAAAUAAGCUAUUCUAGAAAAGGCGAUUCUGUUGAACUUUCGAGAAAAGUUUUGGAUAUAUUAUUAUAGGAGAAGUUGAACUAAAUUCUUCCAGAUAUUGACUUUUUAUAUGAUAAUUUCCAAAAUGCAGUAGGCUUCGGAAAAAACAAUAAUAUUUUGACUCCCAAAAGUAUCAGCUACAUUGAGCAAUAUGACAAUUCCUGAGUACCCAUUCCGGUAGCUGUCAAAAUCAAGUUCAUUUUAUAUAAAAGGGCAGUUUUGGCAUGAUUUCAAUCAUCAUUUAGCAGUGACUUCCAAAAUCAGUGAGCUUGACUUCCAAAAAAACAUGAAACGACACAGAAAUUCGUAAUCUAUUUUUUUAAUCAAGUUUUUACAGUCUAUUCCAUCUAUUUAAAUGAAUUUGACAGUCAUCCACUUCUUGAGGACUGGUAUCUGAAUAUUGAUUUUCCAACUCAAAAUAAAUUUCUGGAAUCCAAUCACCAUUUGGCAUUGACGUCUAAACAAUUAACAAUUGACAAUCAUAUUAACGUGAAACAAAAUCAAAUUGAUUCAUAUUUAUAAAAUUUGACUGAAUCAUUCUCAUUUCAAGGUAACUGGUAGUGAAGUAUUCAAAACAAAAUACAGUUCUGGCAAGCAUUUAUUUUAUCAUCAAGUGACUUUCAAAAACAGUGAUGCUGACUAUCGACCAAACCAUGAAAUACAUUCAAAUUCAAAUUCUACUCUCAACAAUAUAUGAUUGUAAAUAAUAGAAUAGAAUUCUCAAUUGGAAUUGUUUUGGAAUUGGGAAAUCAAAAACAGUUUUCGCUUGAAUUUUAUCAUUUGGACAUUCAAAAAUAGUGAACUUGGUCAUCAGCAUAUUUAGAAACAACAUUCAAAUCCAAUUUCUACCAAUACAUUUUCUAGUGACUAAUUUUCACUUCAAUGUGACUACAAAUUACGUUUGGAAAGUACCUACAGUUUCAAAAUUAAUUGUUAUAUUCAGCAAAAGCUCCCACUGUCUCUAACUCUCAAUGAUGUAAGAACAAAACAACAAUCUCAAAAUAACUGGAACAACAUUCUAGUCUCAUUCAUAUUAAUAAAAUUGACAGAAAUAUACUGUAUAAAAGUUAUCUAAAAAAUCUAGUUCGAAUCAAAUCUGGUAUAAUAUUAUUCUGUCGUCCAUUCUAAAACAAGAUCAAAACAUAGCAAACUUUAUCAACCAAAAUUCUUGAAACACUGAUAAAAUAGAAAACUCAUAAUAAUAUUUGGGUUACUUCUAAAAAGGGCUUCCAGGCGUUCUACUUUGGAUAUCAAAGUUUGACUUUAUCUAGAUUUGAACGACUAGAAAAACGCAGAGCACUCUUGGCAAAUUAAAAUGUCUGCUUCUUAGUUUCUCUAUUUUAGCUUCAAGAGAGAAAGCAACGAAAAUUAAUAAAUACAAAAAUUCCAGUGCCAGUUCAAACCUCAAAAGUAUCAUUGAGUACAUUUUGACCGAUUUAGGCACAGAAAUAGUUUCAAAAAUCAAAGAAGGCUUCACUAGAUAAUUUUCAAAAUUCGAAAAAUUCGUUAGAAGAGCUUUAAGAUUCACUGGUCACCAGCUGAUUAAUUUUGGCUCCUCUCACUCACCUCCUCCUUAUAUUAUCCAGCCUGAUCAAAUUAUAGAAGAGAAAACUUGGAACAAAAAUUUAAAGAAUAGUAUCCACAAAAAAAUAUCAGUAUUCCUAAAAUCCUUGAGUUCUGACACAAGCUGAAACAUCUCCAGAUUUUAAUGGCAUUACCAGUUUUACAUCACAAUUAAUCCAAUGUCUUUCAAAAUCAAUCAGUCUCUGCUUACCAUUACCCUUGGCUCCCACCGAACCCAAAUUCACUAAACCAAUUUGUAGAAGUUUUAGAUAAAAUUUAAAAAUUCAUGAAAAACAGUGCGCCUCAGUAACUCAGCUCAAGCAGAUAGAAAAUGGAAAAGCAAAAUUCAUUGAUUUAACAAUAAUUAGUUUUGUGAUAUCGCCGAAGUAUGAUACGAUCAAACAGUAAUAUUCCUUGACUUUUCAAAUUGAAAUGGAAUCUAUACAAUUUCAUAUCACAUAGACAGCGCACAAGUGAUUUACAGUCUCAUUUACUACUGGAUCGUAUUUCCUAGAAUAUGUUUGGUCAAUUUAGGCCAUUUCAACCAAAUUGCUGAAAACAUGACGGGGUCAUUAAAAUUAAUAUUUUGGCUCUAGUGAUGUAAAGCGAAGAAAUUUUCUCAAAAAACUGUAGUGAUAUCUUCAAAAGACUAUGAAGUUUCUCACAAAAGUGAAUUUUCAUUUACAUCACCCUAUUAGCUUUGAUUCAUUGAUAUUCAAGAUCUAAAAUAAAGUCCUAUUCAAAAAAAAGUUCAUACGGCAAAAAUAAAUUCCGAAAAAUGUUUCAGGUUCCAAACCCUGAUUUUGGGAAACAAAACUCAACCCAUCAUGAUCGAUACAAAUUCUUCAUACUCUAGGACUUUCAGGAAAGUCCUGGAUUCUAAUUCCGGACUUCAAAUUCUUGAUAAACUAUCCCUUUCAUUCUCCGGUUAUAACAAAUCAAAUCAGAAUUGAAGAGAAUACUGAAGGUAAUUACUUCAAUUCGAUUAUCAACGCAACAAGUGUGGAUAUCAAAAUUAAUAAGCGGUAUUAUUUGAAAAAGCGAAUAACACUACAAUUCUUAUACUCAUUUUCAUCAACACAAGAAAUAAUUCAUGAUCAUUGGAUACGAUAUUUGAAACGGAAACUUUAAGAAUUCAGACCACGUUUGGAAACUACUUUAGAUAAAUUUUGUCAACCACAUCCUAAAACAAUGCAGAAAUUGUCCAAAAAUUCAUCCAUCAAAAUUCAAAGAAUGUUAUUCGUUGUGUAGUAGGAGCUCCGUCCAUCAAAAUUAGAAAAUAUUGCUAGUCUAGUUCUCAUAAUAACUCAUUCAUUUUCUACUAAUUGUGAAGAGUAAAAGAAAUUGAGACCUUUAUUUGGCGAUACAUGAUAUUAUUCCAGUAAUCAAUUAUUUAAAAAUUCAAAAAAACUCUUCGAGGUCUACAUUCACGAAUCAAAAAUUGUUUGACAAUUUUUUAAAAUCAAUUCUUAUUUCUGGCAGAAUAUAAUAGGCCUAUAAACAAAUCAGCUCUUACGCAAGUAUUGCAAUUUUGGACGUCUUCGGUGGAAAAAUAUAAAUUAAUUCAUCUCCAAAAAUCACAUGAAAGCAGUUUUUUAGUUUUUGAAAAACCAAUUCAUGUUUUCAUAAACUAAUUUCGUGGGAAUCAAGUGAAUCUGUAUUUUUAAGCAAAGACAAGUAGUAUGUAGGUCUAUUCUAUUCUUCUGGCUAAUCUUAUCAUAUUUUCAAUGAGCCAAACUAUCCAAAAUUCACGUUUAUGACUAAUAUUCUGACUCUAAGGCCUCGCAAUACAAGUAUUAUAAAUUCUCAUUUCGAAGGUAAACUCAAAAAAUGACAUUAAAAAAAAAUAAAAAAUAAGCCUGUAGAAUGAUCAUUCUACACAAAAAAAGAUACAAAAAGGAAAUUCGCAUCACUUAUGUUGGAUGAAAUUUCCAAAAAUUAUAGUUCCGUAACAAUCAGACUUUGAUCAAUCUUCCCUGCAACUUCACGCUAAUUUUUUAUCUCCAUCCACAUGAAUCAUUUAAAAACAUCCAAGCCUCAUCCACACUACAAGCUGAAUUGGUUGUAGUUGGUUGAAAUCUAUCUUGGCUGAAAACAAAUAAAUCAAAACAUAUUUCAAAAAUUAGGGAAACGAGACCAUUACCAAUUCUAACAGCACCCAUGAAAACUAAAAGAAAUGUUGUUAUUGAAAAGCAUUUGGAAACUUGUAUCAUUCGAUAAAACAAUAUUGGACUUGUGGACAUUUUUGGACUGAGUUGUUUGACUCAACAUAUCGAUUCACAAUGAAAUCUAAAAGAGCCAGCCAAUCGCAUCAAAGUAUUUCAUCAGUUAACAAUAAUAGUCUAUACUUCCUGAUAACUUAUAUCAAUAUUUGAAAUAUUACCAUUCAAUAGAGGAGAAAUUCAUGUUUUAGAAAUUAUAGAAAUUUUCCAUUAAAAGAGAUAAAUUCACAAAACAGAAUAGAAUAAUUACCCAAUUCAAUCCAAGAAACUUCAGGAAAAAUUGAAUCCACUCUUGGAAUUUGUUCGCUGCAAAUUUUCAAGAAGUGAAAAGAGAAAAUUAUCAAAUUUUAUACGGCUUUAAAAAUCGAAGAAGGCAUUUAUCCCAUCCUUAACAACCAACUAUCUGUUAGAGAUUUGUUAUUAGAAUCAAAAAUUCGGUUUUCAUUUGUGGUAAUUCUUCUUGAAAAUAAUGGCCAAAACACGCAAAAUUGUGGAAAUACACAAUAAAAAGUAUUGAUACAGAGAAAAUUAAAAAAAAAAAACAAUGAUAAAUGUUGAUCACUCUCAAAAUUCCACCUUUUGUAUCUUUCUCGUAUAAGCAGUCAAAGUUUAAAAGUGUUGAUGGUAUAUCAAUACAACAAAAAUUCAAUUUCGAUAAUGAAAAAAAUUCAAUCAAAAGAAUUUUAAACAACAUAUUCAAAAUCCCAACAUCAUUUCCCCUCUGUAUUGAAUUCAUUCGACAAUCCUGUUGUGAGCUUGUGGAGUUACUUAACAAGGUUUGGCACCAUCUUAAGAUUGAAUUGGAGGAACGAAACACGACCCGAUUCGUCGGCGAAGAAAAUGCUGAAUAGCGAGGGAGUUGCAAAGGGUGGUAAGGUGUCUUGGAAAUAAAUGCAAAAUGAUAUAUAGUGGAUUUGGAUUAAUGGUUGAAGGAAGUCAUGCAUAAUAGAGGAAGCGAGAGCGUAGGCUGACUUCAGACGAAUGUGUUUUUGUCGAAGAAGGAAGGAGGCGUGCUGGUGAGAAAUGAUGAUAAAAGACGUCGGUGAAGGAGAAGGUGAAGGAAACGGAGAAGGACAGUCGGCUGAGUGAGAGAGCGCGAAAGUGUAAUUGCCUUUCAAAGUCAUUUAUUAAAACCCGGCCCGGGCGCAGAGCCGGGAAAAGCAAUUUUCUUCACAUGACGCCCCUCCUACGCUGCAGCACCGUGGUACAACGAUCCGCGAGCCCCCCUGUACCCCCCAGCACCAUCGCUACUUCAAUCUUUUGACUAAUGGUUCUAGGGAAGAAACUUCAGCGCCCGCUCCAGUUCGCUUUUGGAUCCGCGUGUAAUUUAUGGCUGGAAUAAUUUCUUCCCCAGCUUUGUCUGUGUUGAAAUAAUUAUUGACGAGAUGUGUAACUUCUUUAAUGACUUUGACUGCGACUCUGUGACACAAAGGGAUCCGUCGGCGGAGACGAAUUCCAAGUUUCGACAUGCCUAAUGACACCAACUACCCCCCCCCCCCACAACCAUCCACCAAAACCCCUGAAGGCAGACUCACACCAACCUAGUAUUACUCUCACGACACAAAAACUAUAUCACCUUCAUUCAACAGCUGAGAGCAGUGUGCAACUCUUGUAAUUUCGACUGUCAGCGCUGCUGCUGCUGCUAUCGUCGUCAAAUCUCAAAAUCGAAACUCUCUUCUCGCUUAUAAUUCGAAAGCAAUCUAAAACUUGUCGUAUCUCACCAAGAAGACACAUUUGGCACAAUAUAGCACAAACUUCAGCAUCUUCUUGAGUGAUAAGUCGUUUCCGUCUUGGAGAUAAGUUAUUCAGAUUUGUAAAACAGAAUGCCAUCCUAUGAUCAAUUUUGUAAAUCGAAAUUCCAUGUCAUAAUUAAAUCUGUUUGUAGAGAAAUUACAUUUUAUAAUCACAUUUAUGAAGUAAAAUUCUAUCAAUAGCAUUAGUGAAACAAAAUCCCAAUCCGCAAUAAAAUUGUUAAACUGAACUUCACAGAGUAUCAAAAUUGAAAAAAAUAACAGUUUUAUAAUCAAAUUUCUUAUACAAAAUUUCAUUUUAGAACCAUAUUUGUGAAUCAAAAUUUCACUUUUGUAAUCAUAUUGAAUUUCGAAUAAGAAUCCUAAUUUCAUUCCAUGACUAAAUUAUUUUGUGAACUAAAUUCCACCCAAUGGACCAAUCAUAUUUUUGAUUCAAAAUCAUAUUCCAUAAUGAAAUCUUCGUCUAGAAGAAUUCGAUUAAAUAAUAAGAGUUUGCAAGACAAAAUUGAUUUUACGAAUUAUUCUAUAGUACACUACAGAUUCUCAAUUCUCGGAAAUGAAGUUUCUGGUCAACAUUUUUUUUGUGUAGAAUAUGAAAAAAGUUGCUUUAAAUUUCUCAAAACUCUGAUAUUGAAAAUACAGCAAUUCAAACCAAGAUCAGUUAGAAAAUUAUGACCAUGAUACAGCAACCAGUUGAAUACUAUUAGAUUCGAACACAAUGAUAAAUCACCCAAUACUCUUUCUGGCCAUGAAGUACGGAUUCUGAUUACAAACUUGGUAACGCAAUUUCACGUUCCUCAUCCUCUUUUCUAAUUUCAAUCCUCAUCCUCAUUCCUUUCCGAAUUUCAAUCAAAAAUAGAGCACCUAGAGAUCUGCCAAUUUCUCCACAGCAUUUGACUUACCGAUCAGGAAGAGAUUUUAAUCAGCUUCUAAAUCAAAAUCUAAACAAACUAGAAAAAAUCAUAGAUGAAGAAGCUGCUAUUCCCGUCUAUAAUAAAUAAUAUCCAUCACACUAAAUUUCAACGGAGUCGCAGAUGAAUAUCAUAGUUAAUAAUUCAAACAUGAUCAAAACUAAAUUGAAUACAAUGGAAUCAGUUUCAGUAAUGAUGGAAAAUUUUCGUGAGAAAGUGUUAACAUGAGAAUUCGAUCAAGAAUACAAUCCCACCCCUUUUCCAAGUACAAAACAUAGACUAAUUUCUACUCGUCACAUCAUCUUCAAGAAAACAGUACAUCUCAUAAAAACAAAAAAAAGGUCCUCUCUUCGAAACUUACCACUGGCACAAAUAAAAAACCUUCAUAGAACAUGCAAAAAUCAUAUUCGUUAAUAGACAUUUUAUCUAGACACAAAAUUGCACUCUCAUCCGACAUACUCAUCAAAAUAUCAACGAUUUUCACCGACUUUUUCUUCCACAACGACUUCCAUUAGAAUUCAUAUUCUCUCUCAAAAAUACUAGGUCUUCAUGAAAAAUUGUCAUUUCAACUUCAAAAUCAAGCAAAGUUCAAAAUGAAAUGAGAAUACCUAUACCACUCACACAUUUUAGCAACUAUAAAAACAAGAGGAUAAUUCAAUGCGUUGAUUUACAUCAAAAAUCACAUUCAAUCUGCCCUAGAAAAUAUAUUAUGAUACCACUGAAGGUUCUGGAUGCACACAGUCUGUUGCUAUUUUUAGGACAAUCCUCGGUUUAUCUGGUGGUUAUCAGUUCUACUGUUUUCGUGAAUUUCAAACUCACAUAAUGGAUGAUGUUGUGACUGAUUGUCAGUUGAACUUAGUUGAUUGGCAGGAAGAGAGCUGUCAAGUUAGAAAUGAACAAAGACUUGACUCUCUGAAUUUUCACCCCAUCCACACUUCCUGUCCAAAAUUCGCUACAACUCAAUUUAUCAACUUUCCAGUCUCUGGUUUUAUACCAAACGUGAUUGAGUUUUGGCCAACUAGGCACUUACACUUCACAAUAACGCGCAGCCCACCUAACUCAAUUUAUUUGACAUGGAAAUAAAUUUGCAGAUUUGAAACUCUCAACUUUUACAACAGCUUCUCAACCAACAUGAAAACGCAAACCUCAGUUAGGUCGGAUAAAGGGAAACUGGUUUUAAAAUUCCAAAGUGGCAUUAAUCAAAUAAUAGACAUGUUUUAGCCGUUCAAAAAUACCUUGUUCAUGAGAUCCAACCAUCAUUUGAUUCAUGAUGAAAUAAUAUAAUUGAUGUUAAAAAAUGGAUUACAGCUUUAUGAAAAUUAAUAAAUUGAAAACAAUUGGUUUUGUAACAUCCUCUGAGUGUCAAUCAAAGUGACAUCGAUUAAUUGUUGUACAAUUCUCCGAUAACUGCAAAAUUUUAAGAAUAUUUCUAGACGUUGAAUUAUGCAGAAAAAAAUGCGAACAAAGAGUACAUAUUAUAAAAAACUCAAGGCGUUAAUGCCUUCGUAAAGAUUUAUCAUCCUUGAUAGCAAAGAGUUAAUAGAAGUGACAAUUCCCAUUGUAGACUUGAAGAGUUUAAAAAAAUUCAAAAAUUUUAAAAGAGUUUGAAAAAAAUUCAACUUGCCUCAUCUAGAAGACGUUCAAAAUAGUUCAAAUCAGCUUACGGCAUCAAAAUUAGUUUUUCAUGGAUCGAUAUAACAUUUAACCGGCUCAAUCGCUCUGAAUUCCAAAUAACUCUCCAAAUUUCAGAUCAAUGGUUCAAUAGAAUACAACCGCCUAAUUUUUUCGAAAUACGAUGAAAGUUUCUAAUUAUUUCAUAGAACAAAGCAAAUUCGAAUUGUUCAAUCAAUUUUGGCACAUUAUAUUGUAUUCUGGAAUAAGACUUCUUUCCUCAUAAUGCUCUGCUUUUUUGAAUUGCAAAUCUGUAUAUUUGAAACGUCUUCAAGAAGAAAUUUAUUCCACGUAAAUCAAAUAAGAAUAUUCAUGACUUUCAAAAGUUAAUAUUCCAUUUCUAAUUCAAAUUCUGGACCUUAAUUCAGUCGGAUAAAAGUCAAUUUGAAUAUCGAAUCUAUACCAACAUUUGAUCAGGGCUCGAAAUUACUAUUCAAAAGAGAAAAAUGAUCGAACAAUGCAGUGAGAGUAUGGCUUCCUCUUCGAGUUUCUUUUUCCAAAAUCAUUUUCAGAAUAUAAUCAUUAUCAAAUUAGACUGUCUCUCGCUCAAAUUUGAAUCAGACUAUGAAAUUCCAAUGUUUGAAUCUCCCAAUUGAUCAAGAAUCAAAUUUAACAACUUCAAAAUAGAUGGUAUCUCUUCAAAAUUCACACUCUCCUCUCACCUAUCACGAAUAAAUCCGUUCUAAUUUACUAAUCCUUUACUUAUUAUUACCUAAAAAAUUAUCUCCAAUUUUUUCUUACUAUUGAAUCUCACUCCAUUCAGAACAGCAUUCACUUGAUACUACUUUUCUUAUAUUUUUCUGUAUAUGACUCUCUAAAAUGAAAUUAUUUCAAUAUCAUAACCUCACACGUUGAUCCUGAUACCUCAACUGACAAUAGAGAACGAAUUUAUAAAUAAUUCAAUGAUAUUCGAUUCUGAGGAUGCUUGAACAAAACUGAAAACCAUUGAGACGAAUCUGUAACUUUUAAGGAAAUAUUUUCUUCGUCUGGAUCACAGGCUUAUUUCAAAUGCUCCUAUUCGAACACUAUUAAAACUUCCGAUCACAAAAUUAAUAAUUCAGAUGGAUUCAUUCUAAAAUAAUUUAUUGAGAAACUCAAAAACAUCAUACCAGUGCAAGAAAUUUUGUUCAAAUACCGUUCAUCCUGUUAUCUCAUCUGGCAAUAGAAAACAAAUUGACAAAAAUAGUCCAAUGAUAUUCGAUUCUGAGGAUGCUUCAACAGAACUGAAUACCUUUGAGAAGAAUUUGUAACUUCGUCUCAGAAAAUAUUUCUUCGUCUAAAUUACAGUCUCAUUUGAAACGCUCCUAUUCCAAAUCAAUUGGAACAUUCGAUCACAGAAUUAAAAAUACAGAUUGUUUUAUUCAUGGAUAAUUGGAGAAAUUCAAACACAUCAUACCAGUACAAGAAUAUUUGUUCAAAAAUCCACCAGAAUAGAGUAUAAUAUAAUAAAUGUUAUUCAAAUUAUCAGGGAAUCAAUCAAAAUUAUUCUUCACGAAUCAUACUGUAUCCGAAAAAUAUUACGCACAUUCUCUUAUAAGAUGUUCAAAGAUGGAGAUCAAUUUGAAUUCUGUCUUUUUUGAAUUAAUGUACAAUAUUUGCCUAACAGGUUUGAAUUCAAAAAGUUAGAUUUAUGCUAGAUGUCCUCUAAUCGACUUCAGCACGAAAAUGGAUCAAGCAUUCAAACAAAAAUUUGUAAAAAAACUCUAUCAAACCCAUCGACUAUUCAAUUCAUAACUAAAUUAUUCUUACUAGCAGAAUAAUAUUCUAUAGAAUCAACUCACUAUAUAUAUCGAUUUGGAUUAUUUUACAUAAUUCUAUCCAAAUAAAUUAACAAAUUGUCAAAUAUGUCAUAUAAUAUAUACAUUUAGGCUAUCAUCAUUCAGAAUAGUUCUGAGAGAUUUAUUUUCAAGUUCAGAUUAAGAGACCUUUCAUAUGAAUAAUUUUUGUAAUUUGCUAUGAAAAUAGAUCGUCAAAAGAUUAUAACGAUUAUACUUUAUACGAGCAUCUGCAUCCUAACCUCCAGUCACAGUUACCCUCAAUCGACUCCCUCAUAGAUAUCAAUAAAAUUACGUUUCAUUUUAGAGCUGAUGCAAUGCUCUAUAAUCCAACAAGAGAAACUCAAUUAACGCUGGGAAAAUAUUUUGGAUUUGGAUCAGAUUUUCCUCAUAAUAUCUGAGGAAGCUAUAUAUUAUCUCUGAUUAAACGAAGGAUCCGAGUCGAUUUUAUGAGAGAACUUCCAUCAUUUCAAUGACUAGGCUGUUCAAACGUCUGGCUCAACAACAGCUCUGAGCCAAAGCAAUAUAAACUUUGCAGAGUUCUAAUAUUUGUUCAAUUUUCUUAAUUCCCAAAAGCCCUCGAGAAAGCAGACUAUCAGCGAAAUCUAGCUCUCGGUCUACAAUCCAGUCAUCUGUUGUUAUUCUAGAGGAUUUCGGUUUCGAAGAGACGAGGAGUGAGAGGGGAGCUUCAGGCUUUCUAGAGAUGCUUGCUUGAGAAGACACAAUUCUUGUUAAUGUUGCUCGUUGUUAAUCUUGAGGAACUGAAGCAUGAAUACUUGAAUAGUUCGGUGAGAUGUAUCCACAAAUCUUUGAAAGUUAUCAAUAAGAUACAAUAAUCCUCACACUGAAUCCCUUGCUAUAACAAAAUGUAAGAAAAAUCAUUGAGAGCAAUCAAAUAUGAAGAAAAAAAAAAGCCAGCAAUCACGAAAAAUUAUUACGAUUCCCUUCUUUAUAGAGUACUCUCAUUCUCAUUUGUGGUUCUAAAACGAGAUACGAGUAUAAAGAAGAGAUUUAACUAGUGAAAAACCAAAAUUUAACACUAUUGAAAAAUCGCUCAACCAAAAAAUAUAGAAAAAUCAUAAAAAGAUUAAAAAAAUCAACUCUUGCACUGAAAUUGAUGAGUAGUUUCACUGAUCCAAACGAAAUUUGUUCCAAGAUGCAAGAUCGAGCAGCAAAAUUUCCUGGAUUUGUAGUUUCUUUUCGACUUAACAGUGAACGGUUCACUGUUCCAUUUUGUUCACUGUUCACAAGCCAUCUUGUAAUCUAAAUUAUCCCAAUCAAUCUAGAAUCUACAAAAAAUCAACAUAAUUUUCUCACAUGGCUCAACUUACAAUCUCACUUCCGUGAUACAUUCAAAACAAUAAAUCAUCUUCAGAAUCAGAAUCGAAAUGGACAAUGCAGAGAGAAUUUGUUACACGAUAACAAAUUUAACUGACGUCUCAGAAAAACAUUCCAAUGUGAAUUCUCAUUCGUGUAACUUCAUUGUUUUCCUAUUUCAAAUCAUAAAAUCACAAGCAAAACUGUUCUCUGCUGACAUUUUCUUUCAAAAAAAUAUGUAUAGAAUCCAGAUUUACAAUACCAAAUUAUCAACGAAUUCCCACAAUAAUCAUAUUGAAAGUAUUUUCUUCGGCAGAAUAUUAAAACCCAAAUUUUGGAGGAAUUGGAAUGAAUCCAGAUUUUUCAAAAAGGAAAACAUAGACUACGACCAAUUUGGAGGAGAAAAUUCACAUUUACUCCACUUUUAUGAGAAAUGAAUGAGUAUGGAAGUCUUAGAGAACCCUGGAAUAAUCUUAGCCCUGUCUUAGCCCUGGAAUAAUCCAUAAACAAAAAAUGUUUUACACAAAAUCCAUACUUUUCAAACUCAACCUUUUUGGGAUUAUCUUGAUAAAAGUUGAUAAAAAUAAGUUCAUAUUAUUCACCCAUAAGUUUUUCAAGAAUAUUAUUUGAAAUAGAAUCUGUCUAAUAAAGGAUCUAAGCCUAUAAUAUAAAAAACAUCUACAAUCUCUGAGCAUCUAUCACGAAUAGUAUUAGCGUCUCUUCUUAUGUCAUUAUAUAUUUUUAGGUACAUGUCGCGUAAUUUUUAUUGUCCUUUACAUCUCAACACUGAUUGAUAAUUAUUACAUUAUACAUUAUUUUCUUCUCACCCUCACAACAUAUAAAGCCGAUUGAUAAGUCAAUCAGAUUACUCAUAUUGAAUGAGCAUAGUUGUUAUUUUUGUCCGUUAAAGUAUAAUUAGUACUCUAGUAUAAGUAUUUGUUAUGGAAACUCGAAAUGUUGUUGAAACUUGUUAUUAAAUUGAAAAAAAAUUGUUCAAACUGUUGGUUAACUUUCCAUUGCUAAGAUUUGCAAGGUGAAUGUGAAAAAAAUGUUUUUUUUUUUCGAAGAUCCAAAAAAUUGAUAGUUUUAAGAGCGGAAAGCUACCUCCUCAAUCUUAUGUGUAGUGGGUGAGAAGAAAAAUCAUAUGAAAAGAGGAUAAAGUCAUGAUAUUCUAACUAAACUCAUGUUGGAAUAUAAUUCAUCUUCUUUUUUCUUUUGUUUUACUUUGUUACUAGUUACAAUUACUUCAAGAAUUGUUCGAAAUAUUGUUAUAAAUCGACAAGUUAUAAGUAGAGUGAUUAUAAGCCAAUGUUUUUACAAUAAUUAUCAUAAUUAUUACGGAUGUAAAUAUGUAUUCGAAACGAUUGUACUGUAUAUUGUGAUUAUCACCAAAAUUCUAUCUAUGGAAUUAUUAGUUUUAGAAUAUUCAAUUGAUAAUAAAAAUAGUCUGACUUAUUAAUUUCACGGGUAUAACUGACAUUAAAGAUUUGAUAAUGGUUAUGAACUAAUAUGGCCAGUAAUAGUUUCACUUCACAAACGUACACAAUCAAUCUAGGAUACAGUGGAGGACCCAUUUUCUAGCAAGGUUUCUGGGCAACAGGCAACGGAAGAUAACGAGUAGUUGGAAAUAACGCUACGGAAUCGUCAUUUCCCGUUCUCUGCUUCCCAGAAAUGUUGCUAAGAAGUCGUCCUCAGAAAAUUUCAAUCCUGAUUAAGUGAACUACCUAUAUUCCUUGAGAACUUUAUCAAUUUCAAACAGCUGGUUCGGAAGUGGUUCAUUCCCAUAGUUAAUUUAUCAAAAUUAUACCGACUGGAUAUCACGAUAAAAAUAUGGGAAUAUGAAAUUGGGGAAAUGAUCAUGCAAGAUGUUCAGAACCUCAAUUUCUGUUAAAAGUUCAUCACAAGGAGUCAGUCUUGAAAAAAUCAAUAUAUUUGCUUCUAAAGAAUACUUCAACAAAAUCACAUACUGUGUGUCAGUAACUGCACUACUUUUCCAGCCAUAUUUACUGUUUUUGAUCAUUAUUUUUGAACUCAACUAAUAUUCGGAAUCUGUCUGGAACAAGUAUUGGUUUCACUCAGGAAAAUCUUUUGCAUGUAUUCUGAAAUAAGAAAAUUCACGAAUUCAUCUCCAGAUAACAAUAACAAUAGAUCAUACUGGUUCACAGUGUAUGAUUUUGUUGAAAGUAUAACCUGUCCUAGAUUCACUGUGCAAAUAUUUUAAGAUAAUUCAUAGUUCAAAUUCAUUGUAUUGACAUCAUCAAAUGCUCAAAAAGUCUUUCAUAGUCAUUUAUCAGAGUGUAUGUACCACUGUUUUGUUAUCACGUAAAUAUGAGACUGAAAUUGUUAUGAAGCUUUAAAUUUAAAUGAUAUUAAUAGUUUUUUGGAUUAAGUGUCUUAAAAUUCGAAAUUCUGACACAUUCUUGAUUCUCGUUAAUUUUUUUUCUUUUGAAAAUGUUUCUUUUUAAUUGUUACAAGUAUCAUUAUGAUGAUGUGAUUGUUCAUUAUUGACAAUGUUGAGAUUAGAUUAAGAACAAUAAAAAACAUGACCUGGUGGAAUGUUUGGGUCACUCGGCGAGUAAAUUCAUACUUUUGGCAAGACAAAAUUCAAAAUUUCUUUCAAAAUUUCCGUUGGUACUAAAUUUUUUGUAAAACGCAUUUGGCUAAGCGUUGUAAAUAGAUCAGUUUUGGCUGUAUGAUCACAAUUUUUUGGUAAUAUAAUUUGGCUAACCAAUUUAUCAUCCAUUUGGCUAUCACAAUUUUUGGUAUUAAAAUAUUCAAAAUUCGAA